AUUCCUGUACUUCAUGAUAUCAGAACUGUGGGGACACAGAGGCAAAGGACGAGCCGGGAAUGGAAAAACCGGUGCAAGCGAGGUAGCUUCAUGGGAGGGAAAGCCCCCAUGUAUAAGGCGAAUGCGUGAAGCGUAGCGAACUUAAAAGUAGCGAAGCGUGUGGAGUCACUGUCAGGAAAAGCCGCUAUUGCGUAUCAUGAACCCGUACCGUAAACCGACACAGGUGGAUGAGGAGAGAAUCCUAAGGCCGACGGAAGAAGCAUUGUUAAGGAAUUCGGCAAAAUGACCCCGUAACUUCGGGAGAAGGGGUGCCUACGAAUGUAGGCCGCAGAGAAUUGGCCCAAGCAACUGUUUAGCAAAAACACAGGUUUAUGCGAAACCGAAAGGUGAAGUAUAUGAGCUGACGCCUGCCCGGUGCUGGAAGGUUAAGGGGAGAGCUUAGAGGCAACUCGAAGGUUCGAACUUAAGCCCCAGUAAACGGCGGCCGUAACUAUAACGGUCCUAAGGUAGCGAAAUUCCUUGUCGGGUAAGUUCCGACCCGCACGAAAGGCGUAAUGAUUUGGGCACUGUCUCGACAAUGCAUCCGGUGAAAUUGAAAUACCAGUGAAGAUGCUGGUUACCCGCGCCAGGACGGAAAGACCCCAUGGAGCUUUACUCCAGUUUGAUGCUGGGAUUCGGUACUGCAUGUACAGGAUAGGCGGGAGACUAGGAAGAUAUAACGCCAGUUGUAUCAGAGUCGCUGUUGGGAUACCGCCCUUGUAGUACUGGGUUUCUAACCUGCCACCGUGAACCGGUGGAGGGACAACGUCAGGCGGGGAGUUUGACUGGGGCGGUCGCCUCCGAAAGGGUAUCGGAGGCGCUCAAAGGUUCCCUCAGAAUGGUUGGAAACCAUUCGAAGAGUGCAAAGGCAGAAGGGAGCUCGACUGCGAGGUCGACGGACCGAGCAGGUACGAAAGUAGGACUUAGUGAUCCGGUGGUAGAAAGUGGGUUUGCCAUCGCUCAACGGAUAAAAGCUACCCUGGGAUAACAGGCUAAUCACUCCCAAGAGUUCACAUCGACGGAGUGGUUUGGCACCUCGAUGUCGGCUCAUCGCAUCCUGGGGCUGUAGCAGGUCCCAAGGGUUGGGCUGUUCGCCCAUUAAAGCGGUACGCGAGCUGGGUUCAGAACGUCGUGAGACAGUUCGGUCCCUAUCCGGCGCGGGCGUAGGAUACCUGAAAGGAGCUGGCCUUAGUACGAGAGGACCGGGCUGGACGGACCGCUGGUGUAUCUGUUGUCAUACCAAUGGCAUAGCAGGGUAGCCAAGUCUGGAAGGGAUUAACGCUGAAGGCAUCUAAGCGUGAAGCCCCCCUUAAGAUAAGAUAUCCCUGGAGUUAAUCCAGUAAGACCCCUUGAAGACGACGAGGUAGAUAGGGCAGAGGUGGAAGUGUGGUAACACAUGGAGCUGACUGUCACUAAUAGGUCGAGGGCUUGACC
rnacentral:rRNA from 1 species